rnacentral:tmRNA from 1 species
CAACACUGACAGUUACGAAUACGCCUUAGCUGCGUAAUCGCGUGGAACUGUUCCGCCGCUCUGAGGGACAGCUUCCGCGUCGCAAUCAGAGCUGGUCGUGCCGCCGCUUCCGGAGGCAGCACGAUAAGAUUUCCCGGAAUACGGACAGGCCGCGCGCCGUUUAGCCAAGCCCGCCCCGACAACACGAUAAACGGCUAAAUCUGUAGACGCCUGUGUUUCGCGCAUCAGGACGCGGGUUCGACUCCCGCCACCUCCAAAA